rnacentral:lncRNA from 1 species
GAAGAGGACAAGCCAGAGAGACAGAAAGGCAGCCUUGCAGCAGCCAAGCCAGGCCCGUUCCCAGGGAGGAGUGGAGGCUUGACUCCCACCCGUGGGCUAAGUGCAGGGUGGACGAGUGUGGAGUCUAGAAGAAGACAUUGACUGCAGUGUGUGUGGGGGGUGAAUCCAAGAAGACUCCCUGGAAGCUGUGACUGAGCCCAGGAUGGGUGAACAUGGUCCCUGGGGACAGUGGGGUAGGGGUAGGCUUCUUUUUCAGUUUGGGGGGGUCAUCUCUAAGCUGCCUCUCUUUGGCCCCCGACCCCUCCCCAAUUCCUGCGCCCAGUCUCACCCUUGCUCUCUCUGUCUUUCUCUCCCCUCGUCCUUGCACUGCUGGCUCGGUGGUGUCCUGGGAGCAGAGGAGAAGCCUCGACCAAAACUCACUGCUCCUAAGAUCCCAGAAGGAGAGAAAGUCGAUUUCGAUGUA